CAUUUCCGGGGUGCACACUAUCCUGCGUUUCUCUGCAGCUUUCUUAUAGCACCUGGAAGCAUAGAUUUGAUCCAAGUCUGAAUCUGAAGGCUUGUUGAAAGAGAACAUCUUUGUCAGCUACUGAAAAGACAAUAGAGGAGAGGUGGUUGCUGCAGGAUAAGGGAUUAACUUCACAAAUGUAUUCUUGCCCAGAAUAAUGAAGCCUUCAGUCACACAUGGUCAAUCCAUUGCUGAAGAAUAUUGUAUGCAUGUGAAAUAAAGUAUAUUUACAGAA